CACAGCCCCCUGCGAACGCACCGCAGGCUCAUACCUCUUCGGCUUUCUCUCUUCCAGCCUACCCAUGUGGUUUAACCGUGCUGACUUUGGAUGUAAAUCCACUCAGAAACCCUUCUUGUGAGAAAGAUAUGGUGGCUGUGAGUGGGAUCUAGUGUUCAUGGUUGAAAAGAGCUUUCCGUACAGGAGUGAGCAAACCUGUGUCUCAUGCUUGGAGGACGAUGGAUCUGAGAAGGCAGGAGCCCUGAUCUCAGCAUGUCCUGUGCUGGGACCAUUCACAACAUUUUUUUUCUGGUGUGCAUUGGCUGAUGAUAGAGGUGAGUGUUUCCCCGAGCCGCUCCCUUCUGCACAGAGCUGCUCUGCCUCGUGGUCUAAGUGGUACCCCUGGGGUGCCGCGUGGAGCAAGGCGCGCUGUGGAGGCAAGCUCAGCGCCACCGCUAGCCCGAGUCUUGGCUGUUUUUGUGUGUCGCAGAGGAAUGCGAUCCCUUGGAAGCCUCUGCCUAUCUGUCAAACCUGAGAUCAGCCGACAGGUUCAAAAGUUAUUUGGGGAAGUGAUGACUGACAGAACAAUUGCAUGUCUUUUUUUUUUUUCUUUUUUCAGGAAACCGGGCUAAAAAAGCACACAGCUAAACAUGAAGAGUAUUUUCUGUUUCAUGGGGCAUGCAUAGCCUACAGAAUGGUGUGUUGUUACACUCCUGCUGAUGCUCCUUUGACAUGAGCCAUGCAGUCGUUCUGUCUUCCUAUCAAAAAAGCCUUUGUACUACUUGUCAUCAUCGUGCAGCGUCUCUGUAUAUGUGUAAACUAUACAUUUACUAUAUCCCCUAGUCUAAAUCCUUCUGCUGCCUGCAGGUAGGCAGUUCUGCUAAAGCUUUCUGCUUUGUUUAAAGCAGCUCAUUGCCAGUCAAUGAAAUGUACUCUGCAGAACGAGAAAACCUUAGGAAAUCUAAAGUUGUUGAUUUACAGUAAUACGAGAAAGAGGGGACAUGAAAGCUGGACUCAGUCACAGAUGCUUAGUGUCCUUCACUUGCUUAGCCCAUCCUUCACUUGUAGGAGGUCAAGGAAGCAACCCACAAUUGAGAGAGAGAGAUGGCUGAAUAAAGUUCACUGGGCAUUUGUGGUGUGUAGGAGG
rnacentral:lncRNA from 1 species